CUCUCCAAAUGGUCGGAAAUGCUUGCUUCUACCUUUUAUACCCGUCACACUCUAAGAGCAAGGAGUAUUAAUACUUAAUAUAUUGCAAUUUAUAUGCAAUUUAAGAAGUAAAGUCUAACUACCUUCUUUUCUGAGUGUAAUAAUGUGAUGAGGGCGCAAAUCAAAUUACGCGUCUUGAUUGUCGACAUGGGGGCGGGUUCUAAGGGAUGCAGAUAUGAGACUCCACGGAUAAUGCUCGCUUGGCAGCUACAAAGCAACCUUUGAAUAUUCAUUAGUGGCAACUUCUUACCCCCCAACACAUACAUAAGUCCCGGAAUGCAAAAGACAAAACUGCCGACGUCUGCGUGUUUUACUUGGCAAAAAAGGGAAAUAAUCCAAUUGGAGAUGCGGGGCAUCGAUCCCCGUACCUCUCACAUGCUAAGCGAGCGCUCUACCAUCUGAGCUACAUCCCCCAUGCAUUGUGGGCGGCCGAAAGUGUCCGAAAAAGGUGUUUUACUAAAGUGCAAGCCAAGCCAAAUUAACAUUUGGCCAAGAGAAAGGCAAGUUGUGGUCAACUUCAGCUCGUUUGGUGGCUAUUUUCGGCUUGGUUUUUUGUUGGAGUAGGUUGGAAGGUAUGCGAAGACAAGAGUUAUCAAAACGAAUGCAUUGGCUUCACUGGGAAUAUUUGUUAACAAUACUUGCAUUGUAAUGCCUAAUGAAGCAAAUCAACAAAAACAUUUUUUCCUUAAUCUGGAACAAAAUAACUGUGACCAAUGUUUGUACGAUAGCAAUUUUAAAAUGCAUUGUUAGCAUUCAUUCGUUCAAAAUAGUAGACGUUUGGCGGACAGAAGCAGUUAUAUUUAUUUCACUUUGGUUUAGAAUUAUCAAACUAAUAUCACACUUUGAAGAGUUACAAGACAAUCCAUAUGAAUGGUGAAACUGUUAGCAUAGCUUGUGAGAUUUUCCAAAAGAAUAAGUAUUUAUAUGAAAAUAUUAUUUACAUUUAUAAUUAAAAUGGUGCAUGCCUAACUAAACAAGUGUCGCCUAAGAUUUUUGUAUUUAUUGGUACAUUAUCUGCAGCCAAUUAAUAACAUCAAUUGAAGCAGAUCUAGUAGGUAAACUCCUUAAACUUUACCGCCUCCUUAGCAUGCCGAAAAGUUUUUGAAGCUUCCCGCAUAAUCAACUCUGUGUCUUGGACUUUUUGCAAGGAUAAGGACUCCAUGAAACAGCAAAAGUACGAAAUAACAAACAAACAAUAAAAUAUUGAGCACAUUAUUGUUUAGUCAGACGUAAAA
rnacentral:tRNA from 1 species